GGCAAACGGGUGCGGAACACGUACGGAACCUUCCUUUAAGCGGGGAAUAGCCCAGGGAAGCUUGGAUUAAUACCCCAUAAUACUUUUGAGUGGCAUCACUUGAUAGUUAAAGCUCCGGCACUUAAAGAUGGGCGUGCGGCUGAUUAGGUAGUUGGCGGGGUAACGGCCCACCAAGCCAACGAUCAGUAACUGGUGUGAGAGCACGACCAGUCACACGGGCACUGAGACACGGGCCCGACUCCUACGGGAGGCAGCAGUAAGGAAUAUUGGUCAAUGGACGCAAGUCUGAACCAGCCAUGCCGCGUGGAGGAUGAAGGCCCUCUGGGUUGUAAACUUCUUUUAUUGGGGAAGAAACCCAUCUUUUCUAAGGUGGUUGACGGUACCCGAUGAAUAAGCACCGGCUAACUCCGUGCCAGCAGCCGCGGUAAUACGGAGGGUGCAAGCGUUAUCCGGAUUCACUGGGUUUAAAGGGUGCGUAGGUGGGCAGGUAAGUCAGUGGUGAAAUCUCCGGGCUUAACCCGGAAACUGCCGUUGAUACUAUCUGUCUUGAAUGUAGUGGAGGUGAGCGGAAUAUGUCAUGUAGCGGUGAAAUGCUUAGAUAUGACAUAGAACACCUAUUGCGAAGGCAGCUCGCUACACUAUUAUUGACACUGAGGCACGAAAGCGUGGGGAUCAAACAGGAUUAGAUACCCUGGUAGUCCACGCCCUAAACGAUGGAUACUCGACAUCAGCGAUACACAGUUGGUGUCUGAGCGAAAGCAUUAAGUAUCCCACCUGGGAAGUACGACCGCAAGGUUGAAACUCAAAGGAAUUGACGG
rnacentral:rRNA from 1 species